UACGUAGGGUGCGAGCGUUGUCCGGAAUUAUUGGGCGUAAAGGGCUCGUAGGCGGUCUGUUGCGUCGGGAGUGAAAACUCAGGGCUUAACCCUGAGCCUGCUUCCGAUACGGGCAGACUAGAGGUAUGCAGGGGAGAACGGAAUUCCUGGUGUAGCGGUGAAAUGCGCAGAUAUCAGGAGGAACACCGGUGGCGAAGGCGGUUCUCUGGGCAUUACCUGACGCUGAUGCGCGAAAGCAUGGGGAGCAAACAGG
rnacentral:rRNA from 1 species